CUACGGGUCGCUCCAGUGAGGAAUAUUGCGCAAUGGGCGAAAGCCUGACGCAGCAACGCCGCGUGGAUGAUGAAGGCCUUCGGGUUGUAAAAUCCUUUUUUGGGGAACGAUAAUGACGGUACCUCAAGAAUAAGUCCCGGCUAACUACGUGCCAGCAGCCGCGGUAAAACGUAGGGGGCGAGCGUUAUCCGGAUUUACUGGGCGUAAAGCGCACGUAGGCGGUGCCGGAAGUUGGAUGUGAAAGCUCCUGGCUUAACUGGGAGAGGUCGUUCAAAACUGCGGUGCUUGAGGAUAGAAGAGGAGAGGAGAAUUCCCGGUGUAGUGGUGGAAUGCGUAGAUAUCGGGAGGAAUACCAGUGGCGAAGGCGGCUCUCUGGUCUAUACCUGACGCUGAGGUGCGAAAGCGUGGGGAGCGAACGGGAUUAGAUACCCUCGUAGUC
rnacentral:rRNA from 1 species